UACGUAGGGGGCAAGCGUUGUCCGGAAUUAUUGGGCGUAAAGAGCGCGUAGGCGGUCCGAUAAGUCGGCUGUGAAAGUCAGGGGCUCAACCCUUGGAAGCCGGCCGAUACUGUCGGACUAGAGUCCGGAAGAGGCGAGUGGAAUUCCCGGUGUAGCGGUGAAAUGCGCAGAUAUCGGGAGGAACACCAAUGGCGAAGGCGGCAUCCUGGACCACGACUGACACUGAAAAGCGAAAGCCAGGGGAGCAAACGGG
rnacentral:rRNA from 1 species